AGUGAACGCUGGCGGCAGGCCUAACACAUGCAAGUCGAACGGCAGCACAAGAGAGCUUGCUCUCUGGGUGGCGAGUGGCGGACGGGUGAGGAAUGCAUCGGAAUCUGCCCAUUUGUGGGGGAUAACCUCGGGAAACCGGGACUAAUACCGCAUACGACCUACGGGUGAAAGCAGGGGAUCUUCGGACCUUGCGCAGAUGGAUGAGCCGAUGCCGGAUUAGCUAGUUGGAGGGGUAAAGGCCCACCAAGGCGACGAUCCGUAGCUGGUCUGAGAGGAUGAUCAGCCACACUGGGACUGAGACACGGCCCAGACUCCUACGGGAGGCAGCAGUGGGAAAUAUUGGACAAUGGGCGCAAGCCUGAUCCAGCCAUGCCGCGUGUGUGAAGAAGGCCUUCGGGUUGUAAAGCACUUUUGUUGGGAAAGAAAAGCAGCCGGUUAAUACCCGGUUGUCAUGACGGUACCCAAAGAAUAAGCACCGGCUAACUUCGUG
rnacentral:rRNA from 1 species